AUGGACAUGCUGUCUCUUCAGACUACUUCACUCAACAAGCUUAAAACUCAGACUGAAAGCAGUGUCCCCACUAACCUUCAUGGUCGAGGCUGGAGUGCAGCAGAAAGGGUCUGUCAGGAAAGGCUGCUUCCACAGAUUCCAGCCAUGGAGUUGAUCACACAGAUAGCUUGUCAGUGCCCCGCAGGUGGGAGGUUUGGGGAAGAGGAGAGGCAGAUCAAGGAAGCACAAUCUAUAGACAACAUCUAUCAACAGAAGAUCAAGGACCUCCACAAAAAGUACUCAUACAUCCGCAAGACCAGGCCCGACGGAAACUGCUUCUACCGAGCUUUCGGAUUCUCGCACUUGGAGGCGCUGCUGGACGACAGCAAGGAAUUGCAGCGGUUUAAGGCCGUGUCUGCCAAGAGCAAAGAGGACCUGGUGUCCCAGGGCUUUACCGAGUUCACAAUCGAGGAUUUCCACAACACGUUCAUGGACCUGAUCGAGCAGGUGGAGAAGCAGACCUCCGUAGCUGACCUGCUGGCCUCCUUCAACUACCAGAGCACCUCGGACUACCUGGUGGUGUACCUGCGGCUGCUCACCUCAGGCUACCUGCAGCGGGAGAGCAAGUUCUUCGAGCACUUCAUCGAGGGGGGGCGGACGGUCAAGGAGUUCUGUCAGCAGGAGGUGGAGCCCAUGUGCAAGGAGAGCGACCACAUUCACAUCAUCGCGCUGGCCCAGGCCCUCAGCGUCUCCAUCCAGGUGGAGUACAUGGACCGCGGCGAGGGCGGCACCACCAACCCGCACAUCUUUCCCGAGGGCUCCGAGCCCAAGGUGUACCUCCUCUAUCGGCCUGGACACUACGACAUCCUCUACAAAUAGGGCUGGCCCCACCCGCCGCUGCCCUGCCUGCCCUCCCCUCUGCCAGGCGCUAGACAUGUACAGAGGUUUUUUGUGGUUGUAAAUGGUCAUAUUUCACUCCCCCCCCGCCCCCGGUCACGCAACCUUCCACAUUUUAUUAAAGGGGAUGCUGGUGG